GUGUCAUAAUGGUCACUAUGGAUGGCAGUGGUUCCACCCAUUCCCUGGUGCAGGGGUAUCAUAGUGGUCACUAUGGAUGGCAGUGCUUCCAACCAUUCCCUGGUGCAGGGGUAUCAUAAUGGUCACUAUGGAUGGCAGUGCUUCCACCCAUUCCCUGGUGCAGGGGUGUCAUAAUGGUCACUAUGGAUGGCAGUGGUUCCACCCAUUCCCUGGUGCAGGGGUGUCAUAAUGGUCACAUGGAUGGCAGUGGUUCCACCCAUUCCCUGGUGCAGGGGUGUCAUAAUGGUCACUAUGGAUGGCAGUGCUUCCACCCAUUCCCUGGUGCAGGGGUAUCAUAAUGGUCACUAUGGAUGGCAGUGCUUCCAUCCAUUCCCUGGUGCAGGGGUGUCAUAAUGGUCACUAUGGAUGGCAGUGCUUCCAUCCAUUCCCUGGU
rnacentral:lncRNA from 1 species